CUUUAUAGCUUGCUGUUCGGUGUCAGCCAAGGCUCCGUGUUGAAGCAUGUACUUUGACCUAUCAUGGUUUACUUUUAUAAAUUGUGACUCGGAUGGAGAGUUGUCUCAUUGGCACUCAUACCACAUCUUCUUAUAUCUAUUCAUAUCAUAUUUCAUUUGUCAUAUUCAUUAUCAUAUCACAUUGAUGCUUGACGAAUGACAAAUCCAAAUCAAACACACAUUUUUACCUGCAUGCUUACUAAUUACCAC
rnacentral:lncRNA from 1 species